AAGUCGUAACAAGGUUUCCGUAGGUGAACCUGCGGAAGGAUCAUUAUCGAGUUAGGGUCCCUAGGGCCCGAACCUCCCAACCCUUUGUUUAUCCAACCUCCGUUGCUUCGGCGGGCCCGUCCUUUAUGGACCGCCGGAGGACCACUGCUCGCGGUGUCCUCUGGCCCGCGCCCGUCGAUAGCCCACGUCUAAACUCUUGUCUAAAACAUGUUUGUCUGCCUAAAUUCAUAAUUAAAAUAAAACGCAAAACUUUCAACAACGGAUCUCUUGGUUCUG
rnacentral:misc_RNA from 1 species